rnacentral:rRNA from 1 species
UACGGGGGGGGCAAGCGUUGUUCGGAAUUACUGGGCGUAAAGGGCUCGUAGGCGGCCAACUAAGUCAGACGUGAAAUCCCUCGGCUUAACCGGGGAACUGCGUCUGAUACUGGAUGGCUUGAGGUUGGGAGAGGGAUGCGGAAUUCCAGGUGUAGCGGUGAAAUGCGCAGAUAUCUGGAGGAACACCGGUGGCGAAGGCGGCAUCCUGGACCAAUUCUGACGCUGAGGAGCGAAAGCCAGGGGAGCAAACGGG